rnacentral:lncRNA from 1 species
AAAGAUAGGACGCUUUUAUUUGUUGUCUAAUAAUAACUAAUCAUUAUGGUGGUCUUGCUCAAUCAAUUUUCUUAGUUCUCUUGUUUGCUAAGUUGGGAGCUUUUCUCAAAAUUUUCCCAGGAUAAAAAAGAUUUCAUCAUUGUUUCAGGUAGGUGAAGAUCAGUUUGGUCAUAACUCAUAUACUAGCUGAUGAGUUAAAAAAGAAGCGUGUUAAUAAUUCAGGUAUCUGUUUUGAUCCCAAAGGCAAGGACAGCCUUGGCCUCCUGUCAACUUAAGAUCAGAUGGUGAGGGUGAGCUCAUGUUUCCAAGUGCUGAAAAUGCUCCUUACUGAAGAAGAGCUAGCCAAAUAUCUCAUACAGAAGGUAAAUAAUUUCUUUUAUGCAAAAUCGAUUUGAUCUUCAAGAACACACAAACUAACGAUGCAACUGUACUAUUAAAAUUAAGGAUCUACAACUUAGAGAUAAGCCUAACCUCCCCGUUGUCAGAAAUUUUUCUUGUUUUUACAGUUUUGAGGUCGGAGAUACUCUAGCAAUUGAACAAGAGCCAAGCAAGAAAGUCAAUAUCCAUGAUGCUUAAGAUUUUCUUUCGUUAUACAGUUGUUCCAUAAAUAUGAAAGCAGCUAAACUUGUGCUUAACUUCAUAAAGAAAGGAACUUAUUAAUUAAGAGUGUCAAUCAAAGGAAAAUAUAAUACACAUCCCAGUACAAAUCAUCUCAGAAGUGAUCAAAAGUUCCAUCAGCUGUGCCCAAGAGACAUAUGUCUUAUUAGUUGCUUGAUAAAAAAUUCACAAUUAUUUAGCAGGAAGACCAUUUUCACAAUUGGUUAUAUACCCUUAACAGCAGAAAGACCAAAAGAUUGUUCACCUAUUAAUUCUGUAAGGGACGCCUUAUUCUGCACUCGGGUGGUCCGAUGAAUAAUUCAGUCUCCACAUCUGAUUUUUCACUACUCUCUGUACAAAGAGCUUCACCUUCCUUUUCUCCACUUGAGCCUUCUCUCUGUGGAAGGCCACCAAACUAAAACAAGGCACGAGAGAAUUACUACUUGCCUUUAUUAUGAUUUUAUACUCGACUAUGAGCUAUUGAGUCGAAAGAGGACUUAAACUAAGGAAAAGAAAAAUAUACCUUCUCCCUCAGUAUUGCAUUUUCAGAAGCAAGGAUUUUCUCCUGGAUUUGUUAGACAGGAAAGCAGUACAUUAACUAGUAAAGCAGCUAUUGACGGACAGAGACAAUGACAUGCAACAAUAAAGUCAUGCCAUACAUAAGUAGUUUCGGCUUUGCAAUUUGAGUUAUCUUGAAUUGACUAUGUAAAUGAUUGCAUUAUGCAUAAAUUGUAACUCAAAUAAUUGUAUACCUUCAUGGGAAUUGCAGCUCAAAAUAAAUUAAUAACUGUGGGGUUACCUUUUCUUUUAGUUGUUCAAUUUGUUCCUUAAAAACUUGAAUCUGAAAAGAACAAGCAAAGUAAAUUAUAUGAUAAGUUUGCAAGACUUCAUAAGAACAGAUCAUUUCUUGGACUUAUAUGAAGAAACCUUUCGUGCUCGGAUGGUACUGACACUCCGCUCCAACUGUUUUUCUAUCUGUUGUAGUUCUCCAAGGGUACAGGACUGCAGACCUUCUCCUAAGAGUUUCCUGAUACAAACUCCACUUGUUUUAGAAGACUUUCAAACUUACAGGAAAGGGAGAGAAAUGACAAUGAAACAACAAUGCAACAACUUUUGGAUUGGGGUUUGUUGAACCUUUUAGAUUCUUCAAGGAGCUCUAUCUUCUUCAUCAAACUUGCUGCCUCAUGCUGCAUUAUUGUGUAAGCUACAUUAAGCCAUUAUUACAUUUUAUGAAAGAAACUAAUUGCUUGUCGAUUCACCCUAAGGAGAAGGCAUUACCUGCAGAUUCUGCUCCCCAACUUGGUUUUCAGGUUGAACUUUGUCUUCAGUGUGCCUCUUAUAUCGCUCUAUUAUCUCCUGCAUGCUGCCAAUUUCUCCCUAUUAGUCUUUUUUUUUUCUUUGAAUAAUAAACCCGCGGGCAAAUAGCAUAAAGAAUUUUGAAUGACAAGUAUUCUAUUAAGAACAUAAGCAAUUCUUGGGCUCCUCAUGCAGUUGAUGAACCCACAGGCAAAUAGCAUUAGAAUAGACCUCCGUGUGAUCAUUCAGCUUUGGCAAUUAAUCUAGUACAGAAGACUUUGGAGUGUGGGAAAACAAGUAUGUAUCAAAUUAC